CCCACGGCCCUAUCGAAGCUGCGUCUGUCUCUUUUGUGUAGCUGACGUGGUCAAAAAGGAGCCAAAAGUGACCUGUUUUCCUCGACGGUCGCUGUUCAGUUUGUUCCAUUGUAACUGUCCAGCAACAUUUCAGGAAAAUACAUGU
ensembl:snoRNA small nucleolar RNA, H/ACA box 16A